rnacentral:pre_miRNA from 1 species
AAGAGGAACAACCACAGUGGCGGCGGCCAGCUCUGGAGCCCUGGAUUCAGCUCCCGCAGGAACUACAGAGCUCUCUGUCUGCAGGGCCUGGAGGCUCCGGGGCCGG